GGGGACGUUUUGGAUUUGACAGGAUGUUUCGGUUGGGACAGGCUGCGUGUCCGUGCGCUGUUCACGGUUAUCAACGAGCAAAACAAAUUAAAUGCUAACAACGUAGUUGAAGCAGACUUCAGCAGAGCAUACGCAAAAGCUGCUUAGUUUGCAAUUAUAGCUACUCGUAAAUCCCAGCUUGCCGGAUUUACGGGUCCAUUAUGCAAGCGCAGUACGCUGACGACGGUAGGCGUAUCCAGUUAACUGUCAAGGGUUUAGAGUUUCCCUUACAAAAACCAGGGGCUGAUUUAUAAGGUUAUGAUUUUCCCCUGAAUCAGCCCGAGAAAAUGAAAAUCUACACACGUAGAAGUUGGUUACAAUCCAUUUUGGACGCGGGUUCGACUCCCGCCGUCUCCAGUU
rnacentral:tmRNA from 1 species